rnacentral:rRNA from 1 species
CGACCUCCGAAGUUAAGCGGCGCAGGGCCCGGUUAGUACUGGGGUGGGGGACCGCCUGGGAAGACCUUAGGGUGCUGUCAGCU